rnacentral:rRNA from 1 species
CACUCCUACGGGAGGCAGCAGUGGGGAAUUUUGGACAAUGGGCGAAAGCCUGAUCCAGCAAUGCCGCGUGUGUGAAGAAGGCCUUCGGGUUGUAAAGCACUUUUGUCCGGAAAGAAAUCCUUGGCUCUAAUACAGUCGAGGGAUGACGGUACCGGAAGAAUAAGCACCGGCUAACUACGUGCCAGCAGCCGCGGUAAUACGUAGGGUGCGAGCGUUAAUCGGCAUUACUGGGCGUAAAGCGUGCGCAGGCGGUUUGCUAAGACCGAUGUGAAAUCCCCGGGCUCAACCUGGGAACUGCAUUGGUGACUGGCAGGCUAGAGUAUGGCAGAGGGGGGUAGAAUUCCACGUGCAGCAGUGAAAUGCGUAGAGAUGUGGAGGAAUACCGAUGGCGAAGGCAGCCCCCUGGGCCAAUACUGACGCUCAUGCACGAAAGCGUGGGGAGCAAACAGGAUUAGAAACCCGUGUAGUCCC